rnacentral:rRNA from 1 species
UACGUAGGGUGCGAGCGUUAAUCGGAAUUACUGGGCGUAAAGCGUGCGCAGGCGGUUUUGUAAGCCAGAUGUGAAAUCCCCCGGGCUUAACUGGGAAUGGCAUUUGGGACUGCAAGGCUGGAGUUUUGGCAGAGGAGACUGGAAUUCCUGGUGUAGCAGUGAAAUGCGUAGAUAUCAGGAGGAAUACCGAUGCGAAAGGCAGGUCUC